AGAAUGCACUGCGGGCUGCAAAUGGCCUCCUGUGCUGGACUACAGAAGCACCAGUGACGUGAAGCUGGAGAAAAGCUGAAGGUCAUAAGAGGAAGCAGCGGCCCAGGAGAAGGUGUGACAACACAUGGAGAGGAGGGGGCCACUCCACAGAGCACUGUGGGAGGAUACUGGACACCAGCAGAUGGGACAGCGCAGGAUGGCACCAACUGAAGAGACAGUCUCUAUCACGUCAUCCAGCGCACUGUUGAUAUCAGCAGACUCAAAAAUAAUAAUGGGGCAUGUGGCGCCAACGUUUGGCGAGACAGAGACUGGCAGACCCAUCCCUGCUGUGGCUUUACAAAGAUUCACGCCGUCCUGGCACACAAUAAAAACAACACAUCAUACAGGUGACACAGCUGACGCUGGGGUUCUGGGCCACGUCAGCAGCCAGCGACAUGUCACUGCCAGUUAAAACACUGAGGGCUCCUGCAGCAACGCCUGCUGCCAUAAAAAGUUGAGCCAGUAGAAGCGCUGGAGCGGAGGUGCUCUGACCAGGGACAAUGAUGACAGCGUUACCUGAGGAGAAGACAGUACCUCAAAACAUCUUCCAAAACUAGAUUAAAUAUUAUAUGAUGUACGUCAUCAACCCACAGCAAGUAUCUUACCCACUGCUAGCGCUGGUAAGACUUUAAGCAACAGGGAAUAGAGAGUGCAGUCAUCAGAGACAACCACAGCAACCACACCUGCAAAACAAGAACAGCAGAUACAAGUUGAAAACUAAAUUGUAGCAAAAAAUCUAACAAACCUGUGACGGUCAUAAUCGCUCAUUUGUGAGAAAAACUCAAAACUGCAACAGGUAGAGCCCAACAUAGUCGUACAAUAGUCAUACCGAGUGCAAUACCUUUAACAUUUACUUCAAGCAUUAUGGGUUAGAUCAGGGGUGCACAAACUGCAACCCGCGGGGCACAUCGGGCCCGCCAAGCGUCUUAAUCCGGCCCACCGGGCAUUUCCAAA